rnacentral:piRNA from 1 species
GGCACUUCUGAUUUGCCAUGCAGGGAA